GUAAAGUCACACAAUUAUCCCCGAUCUUUUUAAACUAAAAAACAAAAACAAAAACCCUCACAGACUAGAUCUCUCACCGUGAACACCUUCCGUACAACCCCCUUUUUUCUCUCCGGAAAAACUUCAUCCACCGUAUUGGGACUUCUGGAUGUCAAAACCUCCAGGAAAUGUGGGAUGAACGUGAAAUGGCUUCCAAUGAUUCUCUAGAAUUGAACCCAAGCAUUCUCAUCAGUGCUUCAUGGAUGGUGAGGAAGCACAAUUGCUGACCAACAAGAGGCUGGCUGCUGAAUUUCAACAUCCCAAUUCAUUUACUGCACUUCUAAACUCAAAUAUAAUAUUGGGGAAGUCCUUCCAGUUUUUCUUCUGUAGCAAGCCAAAAUCACAGAAUGGCUCUUUGAAAAAUGGAAUAAUGAGAAGCUCCAACUUUGAGGAUUGGUACUUGUCAUCAAUUGCCAUAGGUAGUACGAUUUUGGGAAGUAAAGUAGUCUACCAAGUCAAAGAUGCUGAUGAUAUUUUCUCGGUUUCUUUGGGACGUGCCUAUUUUACUGGAGAUGCUUAUAGCAAGGCCUUAUGAGUCGGUGACAAUGGAGAUUCUUUUGAUAGAGUGAAUGCUGGCUUGAUAUCAGAUACUUGUAUGCAAUUAUGACUUUUUAAUGGGAUAGCCUUCAUUUCAAAGAUUAGAAAAGUGGUCUAUGUGCAUCUACCAGCAACGUAAUAUUUAGUGGUGUAAAAGUAACUACUCCCGGUGAUGCUAUUUCAAAGAGAAAGGAACAAAAAUCCCUUCAAUCGUCAGGAGUUUGCUAUCAACUGGUAUGCAUGAUGGUGUUCAUAUGUAUAUGCUCAUGUGUAAUAUUCUUAUGCCUGGUAGGAGCUUCGCAGUGUCAUUAAGGGUGCUUCCUACGGUCCUACCUCCGUGGCUGUCAAUCAUGUACCUUUUCAAAGGUUCGCUUAUUGCAUAAGAUCUUUUACUAAUGGAAGGCAUGUUGAAUCCAUUUGCCCACCAAAUAAUUGGUUACUUGACAAUUUAAGGCAAUUAAUGCUUAUGAGUUUGAGCGCCAUGCUGGCUGCAAUUCUUAUUUACUUCGACAAUGGCAAGACAAUUGAUGGUGUUGUGAAGAGCUGAGAAACACUCCUCAGAAUGUGUUGUUUGAAGUUAUUCAGACGAUAACUGGAUCACUAAUCAACCACAGAUCUUUUCAGCUUUGGAAAUGUGCCAUCCUUUUAAUAAUUUUCCAAUAUGUUUCAGAGCUCUUAUUUCUUAAGUUGUUAGUUCUCAUGGCAAUUAGAAUUGAUUCAAUUUUAUGAUCAUAUCACUUUCUGCUUUCUGCAGAUUCAUUCCUUGCUGCUGCUCGCGAGCUUCAAUGGAUAUAUGGGACGGAAGAUUGUGUCAUAAAGAGCUGGCUUUAUCAAGGUACCAUAUUAUAAUUUGCAAGAAUCUGUGCAUUAUAUUAAAGGAACAGUAUUUCGUUGUGUCGAGGUCAACGCCACCAUCCUUGAUCCACAUCCUACAUUUUUAUAAUUUUAAUAGUUAAUGUGUUACAUAUGAUUGUAAAAAUUCUCAUUUCAGUUGCAAUCUUAUGUAUAAAAUGGAGCCAUAUGGGAGCCUGUAACAUUUAAAUACACUUUCCGCAACUUCCAA